AGUUUAUUUUCAAUUCUAGUUAUGUGUGUGUGCGUGUGUGUGUGUGUGUGUGUGUGUGUGUGUGUGUGUGUGUGUGUGUGUGCGCACGCCCCUUACAUACAUCAGUUCUUUGCAGUCACAUCAGAAUAUAUAACACUUGACUAUUUAAUCAAACUCAGACAGUGGCCGGAACUAUCACAAGAUAAGACAAUUAAAACGCCACAAUACGCUUCUUUAUACACUUUCUUUUUCACUCUCGCUCUUGAUAAGGACUCAAGGGAAAAGUAUCCAGGCGCGGGGAACAUCAUGGCACUGGGUCAAGGCUCUCGCAACAUCGGAGACCCCUGCUGGAGUCACAUACAGUGCAGAAGGUCCGAUGAGAACUCCUUCUGCGCCUCCCUCAUGUGCCGGUGUAAAACAGAUUUCCAUGUUAUCGACGGGAAGUGCUCAAGAAACUACUGGGAGGAUCUCGGAUUGCAGAGCUGGCAGCUGCUGGUGAUCGCUCUCAUCACCACCCUGUUCUUCCUGGCAGUGUUCGUGGGCUGCAUAUACUACGUCAUACUCAUGGCCAUCAGGAGAUUCAGAAAAACGCGCCCGUCAGGAGAGCCGGUGCCCACAGAGAGCUUCGUGGAUAAAGGCGCUGCUGAGAAACAAAAGAGCGUGACAGGAAAAAGACCACCCCACGUCAAACAGGCAGAGAAGAAACACUCCUUCAAGAAAAAAACACAGAGGUUGGAGGGAACAAGGGCACAGCUGAGGAGUGAGAUGAACGUGCUGAGGGAAAAGGAGGAGGAAGAAGGGGACGAGAGGAACAGAGGCACGUCAAUGGUGGCUGAGGAAAGAAGAAGCACGUCGGUGGUGGCUGAGGAGAGAAGAAGCACGUCGGUGGUGUAUGAAGAGAGAAGAAGAGGCACAUCGGUAGUGGAUGAGGAGAGGAGAAGAGUCACGUCGAAGGUGGUUGAGAAGAGGAGAGGAGCGUCCAUGUUGGUUAAAGAGAGGAGAGGCGCGUCGAUGGUGGAUGAGGAGACGGAUGAUGACGAGGUUCCUUCCACUUCCAUCAGACCAUUGACAAAGUUUAUCCUGCCCCUGUACUACAGCAACGGCCACGGUAACGAGAACAGAGCGGGUAAUCAGCGGCACAACCUUAGGCGCACAGAUAGCCUCGGGUCGUGGUCCCUCUCGUCAUGGGAGAUGGAGCCUCUCGAGGCGGGUCUGGACUGGUGGCCCACAAGGCGACAGUUUCGUCGACCUGCCCACCAAGGGCAGUGCCUCUUAACCACAGUGGAAGGAGCUUGAAGUGUGUAAGGAUGAAAUCGAGUCACGUCCUGCAAUACUGGAAGGCUGGCUAGGGGCUGUGGGGUAGCGGGCGGCGGUUAGAGUAUGGCAGCGCGGCAGUUACAUCCUCGUUACGGCAGUUGCAGAGAGCCAAUCAGGACAGUACGACCACUACUGCUCGACGGUACCGUCUCGGACAGUGAAGAGGACGAGUGACGGCUUCACCUGAAUACAAAAUAUCACUUCAUUUGCAUCUAAAGUGAAUGGAAGAGACGACACAUUGAGUCACUAAAAUUCUCAGGGAUGUUUCCAUGGUUCUGAUGAUGAUAAAAGAGAGGCUUAGGAUUCAUGGGAAAAAAAUACUCAACAACCUGACUUAGUUAUCUUCGUGGCUUUUUGAAAGUAAUCCUCACGAUUCUACGUAGUACUACUUUGCUACGAAUUCUACGCCAUCACAAGGAAAAAUAACCAUGAUAACCUGAAUGGUCGUAUCUGUACUCUAUGAAAAUUGUUCUUAUGAGAACGCUUCAAGAUACGGGUAGAUUUGGUAAUAAUUAAAUGGAGACAUGAACACUGGACAGGAAUGUGGUACGUUCCUCGACCAUUGAACAAGAUGGUAUAGCACAGCAGCAUACACACAAGGCCUGUGAUUAGAAUGGUUGCAGGUGCUGUGCAGACUGAUGUACUCACAGAAGCCACAGAAGAGACAUCAAGAAAGUGUGGCCGGUAUGCAGUACGGCUUCGUCACCUAUAUAACAAAAGGUGGGCCACAAGAUUAUGGUGUUUUGUUUUCCUUGUGACAGUGUGCACCAAAUGUAUAUCACGAUAAAAUUAAUUGCAUGGCAAAACAAAUGAGAUGUGUGAAGAUUGGUCAUUGUGAUUACGAUUGGUGGAGGUCUAUAGCAGAAAAGGAAAGAGUAGGUAUAAACAAUAAAUAGAAGCCCCGAAAAAACCCCAUAAUAUGAAGAUAGAAUAUAAAAAAAAAAAAAAAAAAAGUGUAGACUAGGUCUGCGAGAUGAAAAAAAGUUAGGGACCUAGCUAAACGUGGCCUCGGGGGCUCACAUCCGUCUCAUUGAGCAGUGAACGUGUGAGACAUGAUGGUGUCCAGAGGAUUUGUUUUCAAAGGUUAUUUCAGGUACUCAUUAUCGACCAGUCCCGAGGGAAGGAUGAACAGCUGGGUGAGCUGUGGGUAAACUGCUCCAGCCUGGGGUCAAACUGCGUCCUGCGAUUAAGGCUCUUCCACAACUGUAAAACAUUUUAUUUAGAUUACAUAUAUAUUUGAUAAACCAUGUUCUUCGUCACACUGUGUAUUUUCUGUAUGAUUAAAUUUUGUUGAUACCACUUU
rnacentral:misc_RNA from 1 species